rnacentral:rRNA from 1 species
AGAAUCAACGCUGGCGGCGCGCCUAACACAUGCAAGUCGAACGAGAAAGUGGAGCAAUCCAUGAGUAAAGUGGCGACCGGGUGAGUAACACGUGACUAACCUACCUUCGAGUGGGGGAUAACCUCGGGAAACCGAGGCUAAUACCGCAUAACAUCGUGAGAUCAAAGCAGUAAUGCGCUGGAAGAGGGGGUCGCGGCUGAUUAGCUAGUUGGCGGGUAAUGGCCCACGAAGGCGAAGAUCGGUAG